rnacentral:rRNA from 1 species
UACGAAGGGUGCAAACGUUGCUCGGAAUUAUUGGGCGUAAAGCGCACGUAGGCGGCUUUGCAAGUCCCAUGUGAAAGCCCACGGCUUAACCGUGGAAGUGCAUGGGAAACUGGCAGAGCUUGAGUACUUAAGAGGAUCGCGGAAUUCCCGGUGUAGAGGUGAAAUUCGUAGAUAUCAGGAAGAACACCCGUGGCGAAGGCGGCUCUCUGGGACGGUACUGACGCUGAGACGCGAAAGCGUGGGGAGCGAACAGG